UGGUAAUGACAGCACAAAUCCAUGAGCUCCGUGACCCAUUGCUGGUGACACAGCGAUGACACGGAAACGUCUGAAGGCAGGGCCCCAACUCCCACUCUUCUUGAGACACUUUUCUCCUGGAGGCACUCUGGUGCUUUGCCAGCACCAUCCUUGCCACCGCCCUGAGGAACGGAUGCUAGUACAACACCAGGUUCCCUGCCCCCAUGGGGGACAAGCCUCCUUUCAGCCGUAAGUGGCACCUGCCACCAGAAGAUUUCCACACGGGAAUGGCCCCAACACACCCAGGGACUCACAGUUACUCCAGAGAUAACUGAUCAUGGGGGGCCUCAGACCGCUAUCUCAUAUCCAAUGUGGCAAGAUGGAGCUGGCAGCUUGGGAAGAAGUUGUCCCAGGAACCCGGAUGUUGGACUGAUGCGGCAACCAUCUGAGCAGCACUCUCCAUUUCCUUUGGGAGAUACAAUCCAAUCUUUGAAGGGACUGUUGUCUGUCACUGCAAAUGAUUGUAAGGAAUGGAACUCCCUCGAUGGUAAGUUUUACUGACAGAAGAGGGAUCUAGCUGGGAUAUAACUGGACAGGUGCUGGACUUAGAGUCAGAAGAGCCGGGUUCGAAUCCCAUCUCUUCCAUUUACUCAUAGAGUUAUUAGUGGGGUUUCUUCAGUCCUCUGAUUAGCAGGUGGAAUUAACGUACUUCAGGGCAUAGUAAGACCAUCAUCGGUCCAUAGACGCCCAUCUCAGGACCACCCCAUGGUUCAUAUUGGAGGGCAUGUCUGUAUGAAGAACAGCAUCCCCUGGAUAACCUCUAUUUCCAUUUGCCACAGUCUGCUGCUGACCACCUCCUAUUUUUUCAACCUACUCUCUCUGGCACAACCAGCAAUGGCUCUAAAAUCUGUCCAUCCUACCACUAUUUUUUGGGACCCCUCACACCUCCUGCACCUGGCACUCACUUCCUCCUGGCCCAGAUUGCAUGGGCCAGCAGGGCAACACCUCUGUUGCCCACAGCUCAAUUCCCUUGCCCCUCUCUGGCUGUAUCAGAUUUGCUGGACAAAUCCGCAAUCCUGACCCAACGAUUCUCUCUCCCAAACCCCAGGAUGAGGAAUUUACAUCUUCUAGAAUCCCAGUACCAACACCCCCCCCCCCCUUCAUCAUGAGCUGAUGACAUUGCUUCCUGUUUCUCUGGAAAAACAGAAGCCACCAGAAGAAAACUCCCUAAGGCUCCCUAUCAUUUCACCUGUGCACUCCACUUUCGUCAGAGGGAGUCUCCCUGCUCCCGGCCAGUGCCAACCCUCCACCUUGACUCCACGCCCCUUGAUGCCUAAGGACUCACACUCCCAUUGUCUCUUCUCUCUUUGUGUCAUCAGUUUCCUGUCUCUCCUGGAUUAUUCCUAACAGCAGACACAGACAGUCUAAAGGCUCCUAACCUUUAAAAAAAAAAAAAAAAACCUCCCUGGGUCCCACACCUUCUUCUAGAUUCUGCCCUUCUGCUCCUUUUACUCCUUUAGAGCAAAAUCCCUUGGCAGAGUUGCCUUUACUUCCUCUGCUCCCAGCUCGUGCAUGGCUCGUGCAUCAUACGCCAUGCCCCGUUGGGCAUUUGUCCCCACUGCACUGUGGAACUGCUCUUGUCACUGCCAGGGACCUCCACAUGGCCAAUUUCAAAGUCUUCUCAGUCCGUAGCUGGGCUGACCUCCUGUCAGCAUCGGCCAUAGCUAACUGAGCCCUUGCCCUUGAAACGCUUCUCUGGCCUCCGGGACACCUCUCUGGGGUGUCAGCCUCCUACCACGCUGGCCAGUCCUAGGCUCCUUUCCUGCUUCUCCUCCCCUCCCCAGCCUCUGCUCCUGGCAAGCUUGAAGGCUCGGCCCUCCUCUCUUUCCACAUUUCCUUUGGGGCAUCUCAUCUAGAUGGCUGGCUUUAAAAAUAGUCCACAUGGUGCUGGUUCUCAAACUUACAUGUCUAACUCUUCCCUUCCUGCCGCAUUCAGGCUAGUUCCUGGUAGUGCGUACUUAGGAUGUUACCUGGAUGUCUCAUGGGCAUCUCACGGCCAGCGUGCCCACAACUGAGGUCCUGACUGCCCUGCCAGAUCUUCCCCAAUCAGAGUCUUUGCAUUUCAGUAAAUGACGACUCCAUCCCACUAGCUGCUCACUCAAAACUCAGGAGGGAUUCUUGGUUCCUUUUUUUGCUUCCUCAAACCCCACACCCCAUCAGAAAAUUACAUGGGCUUUACCUUUAGAACAUACCUGAAGAGUCUGAGCCCUUCUCCCCUUUUCCACCUGACUACUCUGAUGCCACAUUCCUUCUCUUGUGAAUGAUAGCCACAGCCUCUCAACUGACCUGGGAAAGAAGGUCAGCCCCUCUCACUGAUGGAAGGAAGGAUAAGGCCCGACAUGAGUUGGCCCCACAUAGCCCCUUCCAUUCUCCCCACUGUGCUCCCUUCAGCUAGCCUCUUUUCUGUUGCUUGUAUGAGCCAACAUGUUCUCACCUAUUGGUCUUUGUUCUGGCUGUUCCCUCUUUCUGGAAUGUUCUUCCCCCAGAUACUGGCAUGAUUGCUAUCCUACUUUUAGUCAGAUCUCAACUCAAACAUUCCUUCUUCUGUGAGUCCCGUCUUUUUUUUUUU